rnacentral:rRNA from 1 species
AUUGAACGCUGGCGGCAGGCCUAACACAUGCAAGUCGAGCGGAGCGGCGGAAGGGUGAGUAAUACCUAGGAAUCUGCCUGGUAGUGGGGGAUAACGUUCGGAAACGGACGCUAAUACCGCAUAAUAUCAGAUGAGCCUAGGUUGGCUUCUCUAGGUGGUGGGGUAAAGGACUACCAAGGCGGCGAUGCGUAACUGGUCUGAGAGGAUGAUCAGUCACACUGGAACUGAGACACGGUCCAGACUCCUACGGGAGGCAGCAGUGGGGAAUAUUGGACAAUGGGCGAAAGCCUGAUCCAGCCAUGCCGCGUGUGUGAAGAAGGUCUUCGGAUUGUAAAGCACUUUAAGUAGGGAGGCGUUACCAACAGAAUAAGCACCGGCUAACUUCGUGCCAGCAGCCGCGGUAAUAC